rnacentral:lncRNA from 1 species
CAUGAAGUCACCACGGCCCACACUCGCUCUUUGUUUUGCUCACUCCAGCUCUUUUUCUCCCCUCUGGAUCUGACAGUUGCCAUCCCCAUCGUUCCGAGAAUUCCUAGUGCGUAGCCACGCAACGGGAUAUCGCACUGCGUUCCCUAUUCCCUCCUCCUGCACUCCCAGCUUGCCUAGCUGCAUCACCUUCCCAGUAAAAGGAACAAAGAAGUUAGAGACCACAGCAAAGGAGGAAGAGACGCUAAGGAGGGGAAGAGGAGGACAUUUCUGCCUGGUGGCAGCUCAGAAAUUCAGACCACCAGAGCUAUGUGAUGAUGAAGAAAGUCAUAGGUGAGAGCUGAGUAGCUCACAACAGUUGACCAGAUGUAGAAUGUGUGAUUACACAGAUCCGUGGAAUAAGUGCAGAAGUGGAAAUGUUUGGAGGGAAAGGAGAAGGAGAAAGAUGAGAUAUGAGGUCAAGAGAGCGUCAUCUAAGGAACCUAUUGAAGGUCUUCAAAUCAGCUUAUCUUGGCAAGGAAGGAUUCUAGGAAGAAUCAGAAAUCUAUCUUUCAAUGCAGAAGAAUGAUGACUCCUGAUGCAGUUCUAAAAAGGUUUAUGCUGUAUGAAUGUUUGUUGCAAAAUGGCUGCAAUGGAGUUCGAUAUUUGGAAAUAUAUCCUACACAUGAAAGAUUUAUUGGAAAAUAGAAUAACUUGUGAUCAGAAUAAGGAAGUCAGCAAAAUAAACGGAAAAUGAACUAGAUCACAUCUGAAGAGGAAUAUUGAAAGAACAAUCUAAGGAGUGAAGUAAUUGUAAAGCAUUUCAGAUCGUUUUUUGAACAAGAAGUUCUAAAGUUUAUGCCACAUGAUUUCAGCGUGGAGUUUAACAUGCUGCUGAAAUUAUGGUCCAUUCUAAAUACAUUUAUUAGGGGAAUUAGCAGCUGGAAUUUCCAUGAUGGGUCAUCUUCAAGCUGGAGAUCCUGGGACUAUAGUGGCAUAGCUAAGUCCAAGUUUAACUCUUAGUUCAAGGUUGAAAGCUGAGCAGCCUUGGGGGGACUGCUGGAGUCCAAAGACAAGGAAGCUUGGAAUUCUCAUGUCCAAGGCG